GACGAACGCUGGCGGCGUGCUUAACACAUGCAAGUCGAACGGAAAGGCCCUGCUUUUGUGGGGUGCUCGAGUGGCGAACGGGUGAGUAACACGUGAGUAACCUGCCCUUGACUUUGGGAUAACUUCAGGAAACUGGGGCUAAUACCGGACAGGAGCUCCUGCUGCAUGGUGGGGGGUGGAAAGUUUCGGCGGUUGGGGAUGGACUCGCGGCUUAUCGGCUUGUUGGUGGGGUAGUGGCUGACCAAGGCUUUGACGGGUAGCCGGCCGGGGAGGGUGACCGGCCACCAUGGGCCUGCGGUACGGCCCAGACUCCUACGGGGGGCAACAGUGGGGAAUAUUGCACAGUGGGCGGAAGCCUGAUGCAGCAACGCCGCGUGCGGGAUGACGGCCUUCGGGUUGUAAACCGCUUUCGCCUGUGACGAAGCGGGAGUGACGGUAAUGGGUAAAGAAGCACCGGCUAACUACGUG
rnacentral:rRNA from 1 species